UUUUUAGGGGAAGGUGUGGUGUAAAGGAUGUUCCGCCUAUUAAUUUACUUUUAUUAUGUUGGUGUAUAUCUGGUUUAAUAUUAUUGUUGAAUAAUAUAAGUUUGUGUAAUUUUAUUAGUUAAGCCAAGUCUAUGUGCUGCUUAUAGAAGUAUUCAUGCGUUACUUUAAUAAAGUUUUAGUUGUAAGCACUAUUAUAUUUAGGACUUAAAAGUAAUGUUAAAUUAGUUUGUUAAUGUGAAAUAAGUUUAGCUCAU
rnacentral:rRNA from 1 species